CUUAACUCAUCAAACUAUACCAAAACCGCUAAAGCUACCUCGCUCGCCAUGGAUUAAGAAAAAACAAAGAAGGAUAUAUCAUAGGAACCACAGAAGAAACGUUUCUUUAAAAAAAGUAAAAGCGGCGAUAUCUAGACCCAGCACGAUGAAGUCGACCAGGAUUCAAGCUGUAGCGGCUCCCAAAUCGAGGCAAUCGGAUCGACACUUGAGCAUCAGAUCGAGCACUCGAUAUUAAUCGACGGCCACCACAACCAACCAUCGAAGCA
rnacentral:misc_RNA from 1 species